GGGCCUGCAGGGAGGGUCCUUUGUCUAAAGGACGUCAUCUUUGGUUUCUGCAGCUUCCAUUUCACUCCACACAGUCGCAUUGAAGCUGAAGUUUCAUGUAGCCAAACUGUUGGGAGCAAAAGAGAAUUAAAUCUCCAAAGUAACGAGUAACAACCAUCUUUAAAUACUAAUUUAUCUGGAUCACUCAGGAACGAGCUGUCCCAGCCUGGCACUGGGGCCAGUGUUCCCAGAAGUUUAUUCGCCAUGGUCGCUGAUGGGUUCCCAGAGCAAUAAACUACUGAAGCAACAUGAAGCUGUCGGCGUGUUGCUGAACAGAAUGUGGUUGUGUGGAUCAUUGAUGCAAACGGGGGACGAAGGCCGCAUGCUCCGAUCCAACAGAGGAGCUGCUGCAGCUCAAACUCCAAAAAGAGUCUAAUGCUGGUUCUGGUAAAAAGGUGUAAUAGCGGGUCUCGCCACUGGCGAUAUGAGCGCCUACAAAGUGGCCUCAUACGGCGCGCGGUGAGAGAUGCCAAACGCCGGUACCGGGAGCGCGUGGAGUCUCGCUUCCACCAGGGCGACACACGGAGUAUGUGGCACGGACUACAAAGCCAGGGACACUGCGCCGAUCAACGCCGACUCUGCAUUCACCAACGAGCUGAACCAGUUCUACGCCCGUUUUGAGGUUAGCCAGGCAGCUAAUGCCAUCUACCGCCUGACUACCGAGGACAGUGACGUCAUCAGCGAGAGACCGGUGAUCAGCAUUGCGGAGCAUGACGUCCGAGCGGCACUGAGGAGAGUGAACACAAGGAAAGCGGCGGGGCCAGACGGCAUCACCGGCCGUCUGCUGCGCUGCUGUGCUGACCAGCUAGCAGGUGUGUUCACGUCCAUCUUCAACGAGUCCCUGGCGAAGUCUGUGGUCCCCACAUGCUUCAAAAGAUCCACCAUCAUCCCGGUGCCCAAGAACAGCAAACCCUCAUCCCUGAACGAUUACCGGCCAGUUGCACUGACCUCAGUAGUAAUGAAGGUGUUUGAGAGGCUGCUGAAGAACAUCAUCUCCUCCUCCAUCCCAGACACCACAGAUCCGCUCCAGUUCGCCUCCCGACCCAACAGAUCCACUGAGGACGCCAUCGCCCACGUCCUGCACACCACCCUCAGCCACAUGGACAAGAAACAGGGUAACUUCUGCCUCCAAAAAGAAAGAUGUGGACAAAAUCCUGAAGCUUCCAAAACAAAUGGGAACAUCAUGCUGUCUGUGGAUUCACUGACCUUUGACAGCCUGAUGCUGUGACCCAGUGAGUGAUGUCAUUACUGCAUCCAUUCAUCAGCUUCUCACAGCGAGGAUUGUCCUCCAGCUUCCAGGCUGCUCCUUCCCCUAAGGCAGUAUCAACUUCAGAAAGACUCCACGGUCUGGGAAUCAUCCCAUAUCUGUUUGCUUUGUUUUGUUUGAUAAAUGGCUCAUAUCACCAGUGGAGGGCCUCGGCACUCCAAUCCAGAAUAUUUUAGGGCUUUUAAACUCUUUUUGAAAAAAGGUUUAUCAAGCAGAACAAAGCCCAGAUUGUUCCAGUGUCUGGACCUCAGUGUGGAUUCAGCUCCUGUGGAUUCAUCUUGACACUCUAAGGCAGGGGUGUCAACUCCAGGCCUUGGGGGCCGGUGUCCUGCAAGUUUUAGAUAACACCCUGGGUCAACACACCUGAAUAUCAAUGAUUAGUUCAUUACCAGGCUUCUGGAGAA